GGCGGGAUAGAGGAGUGGCGUCCUCGCGACCCCCAUAAGGUCGAGACCGAUGGUUCAAAUCCAUCUCCCGCUA
rnacentral:tRNA from 1 species